rnacentral:lncRNA from 1 species
GGAGCCCAAAUAUGCUUGUCUGACGGCCGAUCACUUAAGGGCCAACUAUCACUACUAGUCAUAAAAUUAUAACCAACUUACCUAGUACGGUAGUGAAAGUGUCCAUUUACUGGCUAGACCUCAUCGACUAAACCUCACACAAGGGUAUUGGAAAAGUCUAUCCGUGUAACCCCUCCGGAUGUUUAGGGGAUCGAAACCUAUGGAAGAUGUUAUGCCUCCUUCACCCUCAGGUCGUCGAGGAUAAUGCCUGCAUACGUAUACCCUCCAAAACUUUGAAAAUCCAAAGCCAAAUAUCCAUAAAACCAAACAAUAUGGCAUCCAAAAAUAGUGCAUCUUUUGCACACAACAAUAUUUACUUUGUCAUACAUACACACAAAAUACAAGUCCGUGACAAAGUCCCCCUACCUGGAAUCAAAUUUCAAGCCUGACUUGCCCUCUGCACCUUCGAACUCAAAC